CACUAAUCCCAACAAUAACAGCACUCUCUCCAUCAUGAUGCAGCAUGUCUCCAAGUAAAUGCUGCUUCUUUGGUUUACAUAUAAUACGACCUUUGGAAGUGGAGUAGUUUUAUGCCAGCUGUAAACAGUAACUGAGGGACUUUGACUCAAAUUGUUACUGAUUUGUGGGUGUUUUCACAUGUGCAUCAGCCUGAGGUGGCGUGAAUAUCUCCACACUUCCUGUCUUAGGCUAUUUCCUGGGUAUUAUUAGAUUCUCUGAUGGCAACCCAGAAUUCAGCGCAGCAAUCGUUCAGGAGCACAAAUGCUGAUUUUUUUUUUUUUAUGUGAUAUAUUCAAAGCAUAAGACCCACUCUCCCUAUGCUUUUUUCUUCAGGUGUUUUCAAACGUGUAGGCAAUUUGAUAAAGUUGUGGGUUUUAAGUUAAAGUCUCGAUUGUCUAUAUUUUCCUGUGGGUAUUUAAAGUCAGACGUUUAUUUUUUAUGACCAAAUCUAAUCGCUAGAUGGGGACAGAUACCCACUUUUUACCAGUACGGCGCUCGACACUACGGCACAUGCUACGUAAAGCUAUACGUAACCCCGGUGGUAGAGUGGACACUUUUUACGCUAAAUCCACACAAAGAGGUGAAGGAGCUAGUUAAAACCUACAGUUCAAUCCAACCCUGAAAACAGUCACGCUCUUAUCUUUGCUGUUGGCGAUGUUACACAGAAUUUUCCAUUGAUCAUAUGGUCCUCAUUUCCCUACGUUUGCACAGAUGGACAGAUAAAAGCAGCAGUGCUGCAACUUUUACGAUGUUAUCUGUGUCGUAUUACAGAAACGCCCCCAAACGCAGCACAGACAACGGCAUGUAUCAACACUCGUUGCAAAUGAGCAAGUAAAGAGAAUGAUUCUGAACUCAUGCACGCCUGGAAGUGUCAUUUGUCCAAGUGUGCAACACACACACACUUGAGAAGUAAAAUUGAGCUGGGCACACAUGAGCCAGGUGAGGGAACACUAUCACACGGAGCCGUCUGUACCGGGAGUUGGUCACAGACCGCAGCCUCCAGGCCGGGCACACAGCUAGAGGGAUGCAAAGAAGCCCCCCAGCCAGCCUGAGAAGACCCACAGAGCCACAGCAGCCAUGGUCGAUCACAACCCCGGUGCAGAGAGCCCCCUCCGAGAUAUGCCAGCCUCCUCCGGCAGGCUGUUCCACAGACGAGGACCAUACCACUGAAAAGCUGCCUCUCCGUGAGUAUGUGUCCUG
ensembl:lncRNA